UUAUAUGUACUCAUCCACCCUCCAUUCCCUUAUCGCUUUCACUCUCUGCCUUAAAUCUUUUUGUCGUACUUUCUUUCUUGCAUCUCUUUCAGACACCGCUAGAAACUAAGUUCGCGACAAUGGCAACACUUUCACUGUUUCUCUUUCUCUCCCUCCUCAUCUCCGCUUUUAACUUUGCAGAACCUCAAUCUUUCAUCGGUGUGAACUAUGGCCAAAACGCCGACAACCUUCCACCCCUGGCGGCGACCGCGAACCUCCUCAAGUCCACGACUAUUGGAAAAGUCCGGCUCUACGGCAGCGACGGUGCUAUCAUCAAGGCCCUCGCUGGCACCGGCAUCGGAAUCGUCAUCGGUGCUGCCAACAGCGAGAUUCCGGCGCUGGCCUCCGACCCGAACUCGGCGACUGCAUGGGUGAACUCGAACGUGGUCCCCUACUACCCCGCCAGCAACAUCACGCUCAUCACCGUCGGCAACGAGGUCAUGAUGACCAUGGAUCAGGGCUUGAUCUCUCAGCUCCUUCCAGCCAUGCGGAAUGUCCAAAAUGCCCUCAAUUCGGCCUCCCUCGGAGGCAAGGUCCGGGUCUCCACGGUCCACUCCAUGGCCGUGUUGAGCCAGUCCGACCCACCCUCCUCCGGGUCGUUCGAUCCGGUGUUCCAGGACCCGCUCCGAGGCUUGUUGGAGUUCCAGAAGGACAAUGGCUCGCCCUUCACCGUCAAUCCCUAUCCUUUCUUCGCGUACCAGAGCGAUCCCAGGCCCGAAACGCUCGCGUUUUGCCUGUUCCAGCCCAACUCCGGCCGUGUCGACUCGGGAAACGGAAUCAAGUACAUGAACAUGUUUGACGCUCAGGUAGAUGCUGUACGAUUUGCCUUGAAUGGAAUGGGAUUUAAAGAUGUUGAGAUUAUGAUUGCUGAGACGGGCUGGCCGUACCAUGGGGACAACAAUGAAGUUGGACCUAGUAUUGAGAAUGCAAGGGCCUAUAAUGGGAAUUUGAUUGAACACCUUAGAUUAAUGGUUGGGACACCUCUAAUGCCUGGAAAAUCCGUGGAUGCAUAUAUCUUUGCCUUGUAUGAUGAGAAUUUGAAAUCUGGACCAGCCUCUGAACGUGCAUUUGGGCUUUUCAAGCCUGACCUUAGCAUGACUUAUGAUGUUGGUCUUUCAAAGACUUGCCAGUGACAUGGAUAACGAAGCAGAUAAAAAUGAACGACAUUCAAAUGGUGCAACUUGCUAACAGAGUUGAGCAUGCAAAAAAAAAAAACGCUUUCACUGUUUCUCUUUCUCUCCCUCCUCAUCUCCGCUUUUAACUUUGCAGAACCUCAAUCUUUCAUCGAUGUGAACUAUGGCCAAAUUGCCAACAACCUUCCACCCCCGGCGGCGACCGCGAACCUCCUCAAGUCCACGACUAUUGGAAAGGUUCGGCUCUACGGCACCGACGGUGCUAUAAUCAAGGACCUCGCUGGCACCGGCAUCGGAAUCGUCAUCGGUGCUGCCAACAGCAAGAUUCCGGCGCUGGCCUCCGACCCAAACUCGGCGACUACAUGGGUGAACUCAAACGUGGUCCCCUACUACUCGCCAGCAACAUCACACUCAUCACUGUCGGCAACGAGGUCAUGAUGACCAUGAAUCAGGGCUUGAUCUCUCAGCUCCUUCCAGCCAUGCAGAAUGUCCAAAAUAGUGUUAGUUGGUCAAAUGUGUAUUGUGGAGAUUUGGGUAUGACUGUGGAGUAUACUUUGUUAGUUGGCCGAAAUUGCCGAAUGGCAUUUUGUUUCAAAAUUUCUAGUCCCUUUUGAAUUUUUCUUAGGCAUGUUGUUUCCCCGUCAAAUUACAGGUUAAACUAUCUGCUAUAUGUAAUACUAAGGAUUUCUA